rnacentral:tRNA from 1 species
GGUUCCAUAGCUCAACCGGAUAGAGCAACGGUUUUCUAAACCGUAGGUUCCAGGUUCGAGUCCUGGUGGGAUCAC